AGUAAAGAGCCAACAGAAAUUGCUUUGAAUCCAUUCCUUCAAAUGUGGUAAAGAUACUUUAUUCCAACAGGAGCUGAAUUUCAGAUUAAACGUGCAACUGAGGUUGGUAAGAAUACUUUGACUUACUGGAAGUAAGAGGUAUUUAUCACAGCUGCUGUUCUGGUGAAAUGAUUUGCUCUGGAGGUUUCACACGAACCCUGAAGACAUACUUCUGGACCUUCUUCCUCCAAAAAAAUUCAGCCACGAUUCAUCCUUAGGAGGAGCCAAGUCCAAACUCCAAAGACCGGGAGCUGACUUAAAGUUCUUUACUGGAGUCUGCAUGCUUUGUAAAAGACUGUGCAGAAUCAGCUGUAUUUCCAGAAGCAGCAAAGGACAAAGUGAAUUUUUAGUUACAGUCUACAUAACAGAAUUUUUGUAGGUGACAUAACAUGAUCACAAAAUAACUUAAAACUAUGUUUACAGUGUGCACUCAAAACAUAUUCCUGUGUUGAUGAUACAUUUGGAAAAUGAAUAGAAUUUAGAUCACUUUCUUUUUGAAGCACUUACUCCUAAAGUGCUUUGACAAAUUCAUUUGACUAAAUGAUAUAAUACAGAUGCAAGGAGGCAAUGCAAGACUUCUUCAGAUGAUUUUAC
rnacentral:lncRNA from 1 species